rnacentral:lncRNA from 1 species
AGAAAGCAAACCAUCGGUAAAGGCUCCGUUUUUCACUUAUUAUACUUCAAAAUAUCUACCAUAUCUACCUGGUUUAUUUAUCAUCACUUAGAAAUUUUCAUUAAAGUAACAAAGGGUCAUGGUUUCAGCAAGUGAUCUCCACCGUUUGGAUUUCUGUUCCCUAAUCCGACGGACAACGGUUAGCCGGCCAUAAAACUAAGAUGAUUAAUUAAUUCCAAAAGACAGAGGGGUCACUUUUAGUUUUUAAUCUCAUCCUUAUUCUCCGUUCUCUACCACAACAAAAAGUUAAAAAGAAUACAACAAAACUUUGUUUUUCAGAGUUGAGUCACUCCUCCAUUAUUGAGAUCAUUUUUUAAUAUCAGUCUUUCUUUGCAUUCAUUUCCAGACAACAAAACAAACCCUUCCUUAGUAUUUUCAUCCUUUGAUCAGAAACACACUUUGCUUCUGUUUAUUGUGUUCAUUGUUGUUUUUGUAUUCAGCUUUUGCCAUCAACUCUUUCGAAUUUGGCCUCUGUUUGUUGUAAUCUUCAGUCUUGUUAUCUGGUUUUGCUUUGUUCUUUGUCUAGUCUCUGUUUUAUUCUGUAUCUACUCUUUCUAUUGUCUUCUUACUCUGCCCCAUCUUGUUGUAGUCACUUGUGUUUAAUCACUUAGUUUGCUUCAUAACUGGGUCAAUUAUUUUUCAAAAAUUCACAAAAAGAAAGAGAGAGUAAAAGGACAGAAGAUGGCUGAAAUCAUUCUUACUAUUGUUGUAGAAGUUGUAAAGCGCGUGGCUCCUCCCGCAUAUCGCCGAAUUUGCUAUUGGAUAUAAGACUAAUUGAAAUAGGUAAAGAUUGUUAUUGUUGUAGAAGUUCACACUCAAUCAUCAUUUGUCUUGUUAGUUGACUGAGACGAAAAAUGCUCAAGUAGUCCUUUCUUUACUUCAUUUUUAAUAUCAGUCUUUCUUUGCAUUCAUUCAUUUUCUAUCAACAACCCCUUUCCGUACCUCCAUUCUGUCGAUCACGAACACACUUUGCUUCUGCUUAUUGCGUUCAUUGUUGUUUUGUUAUUCAGCAUCUGCCAUCAACUCUUUUGAAUUUUCCGUCUUCUGAUCUCAACAAUACUUGGCCUCUGUUUGCUGUAAUCUUAAGUCUUGUUAUUUGGUUUUCCUCUGUUCUCUAUCUAGUUGUGUCCAGCUGUGCCGCUGUCUCUGUUUUAUUCUCUACCCACUCUCAGUAAUUUUUUUUUUUUUUCACUCUGCUCCAUCUUGUAGUCAUUUGUGUUUAAUCACUCAGUGUGCUUCAUAACUGGGUCAAUUGUUUUUCACAAAUUCAGAAAAAGAGAGAUAGAGAGACAAGGACAAAGGAUUGAAGAUGGCUGAAAUCAUUCUUACUAUUGUUGUAGAAGUUGUAAAGNNN